rnacentral:lncRNA from 1 species
GCAAACUCCGUUCGGACUCCUACGGGAGCCAGACUUCGCCCAAGACUUUGAUCAAAAGAAGACUCCGUCCGGACUCCUACAGGAGCCGGACUUCAUCCCAAACUUCAAUUGCAUGUAGACUCCGUCCGGACUCCCACGGGAGCUGGACUUCGCCCCGACUUCGCUUACGGGAAUCGGACUCCCGUAGCCCCACCAAGAGCGGAGGAAAAAUUCCACUCGAAAAAGAAAAGGGGAGGAGGGGUUAAAAAGGAAAGCGAUGGGCUUCGACGACGAAUGGAAAACAAACAACGUCAAAGAUGCAGAGAACCCCGUCUCAGCAAGGAUUGGGGUUCUUAUCAAGAAUCCCAGCUCCCAACGAAGCUCUCAACGUAAGCCCGAGAUGAGACGACUUUCUCAGGGUGAUGGAAGCUCGGGCCUCCGAGUCCGAGCCCUGGGGGGAGGCACCAGACCCGAGCGGCCCCAGACAAAUCUGCGGCCACGGACGAAAAGGGCAGAUCGAUACGAUGGCAAUCGGGGACCUCCGAAUGGUGUGAAGGUCGAAAAAA